GCGGGGGAGCACUACAACGGGUGGAGCCUGCGGUUUAAUUGGAUUCAACGCCGGGCAUCUUACCAGGGGCGACGGCAGGAUGAAGGCCAGGUUGACGACCUUGCCAGACGCGCCGAGAGGUGGUGCAUGGCCGUCGUCAGCUCGUACCGUGAGGCGUCCUGUUAAGUCAGGUAACGAGCGAGACCCGUGCCCCAUGUUGCUACCCUCCCCUCCGGGGGAGGGGCACUCAUGGGGGACCGCCGGCGCAAAGCCGGAGGAAGGUGCGGGCAACGACAGGUCCGCAUGCCCCGAAUCCCCUGGGCUACACGCGGGCUACAAUGGCUGGGACAAUGGGAUGCGACCCCGAAAGGGGGAGCGAAUCCCCUAAACCCAGCCGUAGUUCGGAUCGUGGGCUGUAACUCGCCCACGUGAAGCUGGAAUCCGUAGUAAUCGCACCUCAUCAUGGUGCGGUGAAUGCGUCCCUGCUCCUUGCACACACCGCCCGUCACGCCACCCGAGUUGAGCCCAAGUGAGGCCCUGUCCGCAAGGGCAGGGUCGAACUUGGGUUCAGCGAGGGGGGCGAAGUCGUAACAAGGUAGCCGUAGGGGAACCUGCGGCUG
rnacentral:rRNA from 1 species